rnacentral:rRNA from 1 species
ACGGGGUGCAGCAGGCGCGAAAACUUUACAAUGCGGGAAACCGCGAUAAGGGAACCUCGAGUGCCAGCAUACAAUGUUGGCUGUCCAGGUGCCUAAAAAGCAUCUGUUAGCAAGGGCCGGGCAAGACCGGUGCCAGCCGCCGCGGUAACACCGGGGGCUCGAGUGGUAACCGCUAUUAUUGGGUCUAAAGGGUCUGUAGCCGGCCGAAUAAGUCCCUUGGGAAAUCUGGCAGCUUAACUGUCAGGCCUUCAGGGGAUACUGUUUGGCUUGGGACCGGGAGAGGUGAGAGGUACCUCAGGGGUAGGGGUGAAAUCUUGUAAUCCUUGAGGGACCAUCAGUGGCGAAGGCGUCUCACCAGAACGGAUCCGACGGCAAGGGACGAAAGCUAGGGGCACGAACCGGAUUAGAUACCCGGGUAGUCCUAGCCGUAAACGAUACUCGCUAGGUGUCAGCCACGGUGCGACCGUGGUUGGUGCCGUAGGGAAGCCGUGAAGCGAGCCACCUGGGAAGUACGGCCGCAAGGCUGAAACUUAAAGGAAUUGGCGGGGGAGCAC